rnacentral:lncRNA from 1 species
AAACUUUGAUCGAAGAGUUCAAAUUUCAAAUUCAAAAUUUGAAAUUCAAAAUUUUGAGCCUGAUACCCAAAAUGUGUGGAACUCAUGAUCAGAGAAUCCUAAUUCUUAAUCAUAGAGUCCCAGAUAUAUAAGACUCAUAAUUAGCCAUCAGAUCAGAAAGGAACCUCUAAUGUGUGUGACCCCGCAGGUUCGAACCUAAGCCGAUAGCACAGGAACCAAUUCCUGUACUAAUCGAAGUGACCAUCUAGCAAUGGUACCCGAUGACCGGAU